rnacentral:tRNA from 1 species
GCGCCCGUGAUGUAAGGCGAACAUCGCUGCUUGGAGAGCAGAAGAUGUGGGUUCGAGUCCCGCCUGGCGCA